AGCAUAAUUGCUGGACCACAUGGUAAGAGUAUGUUUCAUUUUGUAAAAAACUGCUAAACUAUCUUCCAAAGUAGCUGUACCAUUUUGUGUUUCUACCAGCAAU
rnacentral:pre_miRNA from 1 species